CCCUUAGAUGUUCUGGGCUGCACGCGCGCUACACUGACGCACUCAGCGAGUUCCUGUACCGAGAGGUUCGGGUAAUCAUGUGAGCGUGUGUCGUGAUGGGGAUAGAAUAUUGUAAUUAUUGCUCUUCAACGAGGAAUUCCUAGUAAGCACAAGUCAGCAGCUUGCGCUGAUUACGUCCCUGCCCUUUGUACACACCGCCCGUCGCUCCUACCGAUUGGGUGAUCCGGUGAAUGACUCGGACUUUGACGUUCCUAGACACUAGGUUCGUCGAGGGAAGUUUUGUGAACCUUAUCACUUGGAGGAAGGAGAAGUCGUANCA
rnacentral:rRNA from 1 species